UACGUAGGGUGCAAGCGUUGUCCGGAAUCAUUGGGCGUAAAGAGCGUGUAGGCGGCUCGAUCAGUCUGCUGUGAAAGCCCAGGGCUCAACCCUGGGAUGCCGGUAGGUACUGUCGAGCUAGAGUCCGGAAGAGGCGAGUGGAAUUCCUGGUGUAGCGGUGAAAUGCGCAGAUAUCAGGAGGAACACCAAUGGCGAAGGCAGCUCGCUGGGACGGUACUGACGCUGAGACGCGAAAGCGUGGGGAGCAAACAGG
rnacentral:rRNA from 1 species